AUUUUCUUCUGAGAGACAACCCAGCGGAAGCCAGGCUUGCUGGCCGCUCUUCCUUUAGCCUUCCUUGCUGUUAGAACGUUAUGUGAGAAUUGGCGCUGCUCGUGACUGUGUUUCGUGGGAGAAGGUGGACGGCUGCGUCUGGGAGGGCAUGUCUCCAGACUAGCUCGAUGGUUCCCAAGCUGCGCUUGUCCGGAGCCGGGGCCGCUGAUGCGGGGGGCUCGAAGGCCUCACUUCAAACAGGGCUGCUGCUCUGGGAGCCGGUGCCGGUUUUCUGCUCAAGAUUUUAUGAAAAGAAAGAGUUCUGCUGCUACAAACCACAUCGAAAGCUUUGAAAAUUGUUGGACUCAAUGGUGUCUGCUGCUAUUUGGCAUUAGUCUCGUGAUCUGAAACCUGAUUUAUUCUGGAAAUUACUAUUUCUUUUCAUUUCUCAUCAUGGAGUCUAA
rnacentral:lncRNA from 1 species